CGGAAUCAUGUACUUUCGCUGACCUGUGAGGCUGGCCCCAAAUCCAGUGUCUCAGGUGCACCUGGGUGGGCUGCAAACUUGAAGUCUCUGAGUGCUUCAGGAAAAUCCCACGAGAAAGGAAAAGGAGUUCCCAUACCUGCCUUCCUGACCAGAAAUCCCAAACUCACAGUCCAGACCCCAGACCUAGGGGGAUCCCCCCUCCCCUGCUGGAGACGCUGCUGGCCAGGCAUUUAGUCUGCAAAUACCCUGACAAGACAGGUCAUCAAUGUGAAAUUAUCACCAUCAGCAGGGCCAGGCGGCCUGGCCUCCCAUUAUGACCAAAUGAAUAACUCCGUUUAGAGAAGUCGUUUAGGGCGCUGCCCCAGACAAUGACUCCUGUCAAAAGAUUUACCGAAGCUCAGGGGCAAUGUGGCGGGGAGGCCCCGUGGGCCUGGCCUCACAGUUUAUCAGCUCAUGCAGAAAACAAAGAUUGCAGCGUGGACCAUUUCGCCGCUGAAAUUCAUGCCUUUUGACCCCAAAUGAAGAGAUAAUCCCGGGGCUUGUUUCCACUUGAGCUUGGAGAUAUUGUAAACAGCUGGCUCUGAAGCAGAACCUCACAUUGGCCUUGGGUGGAAAACAAGUCAUCAACCACACUGCUGGGGAAAGCGGUUCUUUACUUCAUUUUACUACACUCCCUUGGAAGCACCCCCCAGGAGAAUUCUAUUUUUAAAUUGAGUGCUUGGUAGAACUCUCGCUAAAGGAACAUGCUGGAGGAUGUGCUUCCUCCAAUCCCCUACUGAAGACUGUAAGCUUAAUCAUGAUGUAUUUUCUCCUUGGCUACCAGGAAGCUCAAAAGCCAAGAAAAGCUUAAGUCCGUCAGCAAGGCUGGUCCUUUAUAUUAUAACAUGUGCAUUAUCCUUUACUUUCCUGUUGUGGAUUCUAUUUAGGUUUAAUGAUGUUUGUUUAAGUGCUUCAUCGUGUAAACAGCUUCAUAUCCUUUGUUGAAAGAGGGAGGGCUGUGGGUAAAUGAUGGCGGGCUUCCAGGCAGGCAGAGUGGACAGCCAGAGGCAAUAACAGGAUUCGCCAAGGGACACCAGGUGGGAAGACCCAUGCAAAGGCAGCUUGGGAUGAUCCACUUGCCCAGCAUGAGAGGGGCACCUGGUUCUGCCCAGAAGCUCAGGAAAUACCACGUGAAUGCAUGAAUGUUGAAUGGAUAACUGAGCACUAAGCAAGUGGCCAGCAGACCCUGGACGCAGGCACCGUGCUCGGCCUCUGCUGCUUGGGGGUCCUCUCCUGACUUGUGAGGCCAGUCACCACCUCUCUCACAGUGAGAUGGGGAGAUGAAACCACAGCGGCGACCUGGCGUGUGCCCGGUGCAUGGCGCAGCCUAUGAGAGCUCCUCCACCUUCUCCUCCUUUCAGGGUGAGGUCAUGUUUGACCAGCUUAAGUCAGGUGACAGAUGCCAAGAAAGUGUGCAUGCUGCAAUUAGAAGCUGGAAUGUUACAAAGGAUGAUAACAGCAGCUCCAGAGCAUUUGCUGAACCCCAAGCGCUGUCCUAUGCAACCCGUGUGGACUAACCCCUGUGAUGCCCACACCCUCACAAGGUAGGAAUUCUCAUUGUCAUUUUACAGAUGACAAAAUGGAGGUGUGGCAACUUUAAAACCUGUCUACAAAUUCUUGGACCUUCUGGCAUCGAGAGGCAGGUCACAGACCACACACACACACACACACACACACACACACACACGCACACGUAUGCAUACGUUGAAGCUGGCUGGCUGCGAUUGUGACUCUUUUGUAGCCAAUAUCAUGGCAGUGAGGUUAGUUGAGAAAAUGUGGUGGUGCCAACAGUUCCGGUUUUUGUAGCCCAGGCACCAACCAUGUGAGCAAUGAGAUAAUCCCAGCCCCCAGGCAUUAAGUCCCCCAGAGCCCCCAGUCUUCCAAGCAGGGGUCCCCCAGACUGUGUGGAGCAGACAAGUCAUCCCCACUGGCUCCUUCCACAAAGAGGUUGUGGCUUUAUUUCUAAGUUUGAGGUGGCUUUACAUUGACAGGACAGAGAUUUGGUGUCUGGGCAAAUCCCAAGCAUUAACUCUGGUCCUGGGCAGUGGAUAGAAGCUAAAGGGGCCUUGAGAAGACUGCCAGUGAGGGCUUGAGGAAGACCAAGAAGAACGUCAUUGGAAACCAGAGAAAAAGGGAGGUCAGUAACCCAAAGGAGGCCAAUACUGCCAUAAGCUACAACGUGGAAAGCAGGAAAAGGGUACCUAAUUAACCCAGUGAUGUAGCAAGCUUCUUCUGUAAAGGGCCAAAUGGUAAAUAUUUUAGAUAUUGUGGAGAAGAUGGUCUCUGCUGAAACUCCUCAAGUCUAUAGUUGUAGCUCAAAAGCAGCCAUCAACAAUACACCAAUAAAUGGGCAUGGCUGCACUCCAAUAACCCUGUUUACAAAAACAGGCAGUAGGCUGGAUUGCUCACCCCUGAUCUAGCUAAGAUGUCCAGGAAAAUAUAUUGAAA
rnacentral:lncRNA from 1 species